CACGGUCCAGCGCGACGGCAGGCACGCCCGCCUGUUGCUGGCCAAGAACCCGGCGGGCUGGCUGGAGGCGUUCGACGUCCUGGACCGUGC
rnacentral:tRNA from 1 species